rnacentral:tRNA from 1 species
GCCGAAGUGGCGGAAUGGCAGACGCAGAGGACUCAAAAUCCUCCGUGGGCGACCACGUGUGGGUUCGACUCCCACCUUCGGCACCA